UAAGAGCGUAUAUUAAUGUUGUUGCAGUUAAAAAGCUCGUAGUUGGAUUUUUAUUAAGGACUAGAAACCGUUUAUUUUAGCAAAAUUGCUAGUUUAGAUGGGGUCUUAGUACUUAUUUUACAUAAAUUGAUAGAAUAAUUUAAUUAUUAUUUUAUUUAUUUUACUGUAAAGAAAUUAGAGUGUUUAAAGCAAGUAAUUAAUUCGAUUAAUUUACUACUAUUGUAUUUUUCAGUAUGGGAUAAUGAAACAUGACAAAAUUUACUGUGAGAACAGUAAAGAUAAUUUUUGUAAUGAUCAAAAGAAACGGUUGAGGCUAUUUGUAUUCAAAAGGAAGCGGUGAAAUGUGUAGAUUUUUUGAAGACAAACUAAUGCGAAAGGAUUUAGCCAGCACGUUUUCAUUAA
rnacentral:rRNA from 1 species